rnacentral:rRNA from 1 species
UGACUCGGCGAGAAGUCCAUUGAACCUUAUCAUUUAGAGGAAGGAGAAGUCGUAACAAGGUUUCCGUAGGUGAACCUGCGGAAGGAUCAUUGUUGAUAUCUAAAAUAUAUCGAGUCAUUCGAAAAACCCGUUACAUAAGUGUUGGCACAUGCCUUCAUAAAACAUUCAUCCCAUUUGAUGCCUCAUUUCCUUUGGAUUUGUUACACGAUGGAGGAUGAAAAAACUUUAAACCGGCGCAGCUUCGCGCCAAGUAUAGUUUGAAAACACGUGAGCCUUUUAUUGGGUUUUUAGUGGCAUGGAGUGCAUCCCAUUCCAUAUGUAUCAAUAUGACUCUCGGCAAUGGAUAUCUCGGCUCUUGCAUCGAUGAAGAGCGCAGCGAAAUGCGAUACGUGAUGCGAAUUGCAGAAUCCCGUGAACCAUCGAGUCUUUGAACGCAAGUUGCGCCCGAGGCCUAUCGGCCAAGGGCACGUUCGCCUGGGCGUCAAGCGUUGCAUCGCUCCGAGCUAUCUCCAUUCCAUCCAUGGAUGUGUUGGAGAGGGCUCAGAUGCGUAGAGUGGCUCCUCGUGCCUAUGGUGCGGCGAGCUGAAGAUUGCAGCAUUAUCUCGUUUGGCUGGGAGAAACAAGGGGUGGAUGUAAAAAAUUCAAAUGUUGUUUUGUGCCGGUAUAAAAAGAGAUAAAGCUCAUUUGAUCCAAACCCAUGCGCAUGUCCAAAGUCGGCGGCAUGGAAUGCGACCCCAGGAUGGGCGAGGCCACCCGCUGAGUUUAAGCAUAUUAAUAAGCG